AAUGAACGCUGGCGGCAUGCCUAACACAUGCAAGUCGAACGAUAACAGGAAGCAGUUUGCCGCUUCGCUGACGAGUGGCGGGCGGGUGUGACAUGUCUGUGAAACUGCCUUAUGGAGGGGGUUAACUACUGGAAACGGUACUUAAUACCGCAUAACGUCGCAAGACCAUAGUGGGGGACUUUAGGGCGUCUUGCCCUCGGAUUUGCGCAGAUGGGAUUAGCUAGUAGGUGGGGUAACGGCUCACCAAGGCGCCGAUCCCUAGCUGGUCUGAGAGGGUGACCGGCCACACUGGAACUGAGACACGGUCCAGACUCCUACGGGAGGCAGCAGUGGGGAAUCUUGCGCAAAGGGCGCAAGCCUGAUGGAGCAAAGCCGCGUGAAUGAAGAAGGUCUUCGGAUCGUAAAGUACUGUUAGCAGGGAGGAAGAAAGGAGAGUUUAACUCUUAGCGCAUUGACGGUACCCAAAGAAAAAGCAACGGCUAACUACGUG
rnacentral:rRNA from 1 species